rnacentral:rRNA from 1 species
GAUGAACGCUGGCGGCGUGCCUAAUACAUGCAAGUAGAACGCUGAAGGAAGGAGCUUGCUCUUUCCGGGUGAGUUGCGAACGGGUGAGUAACGCGUAGGUAACCUGCCUGGUAGCGGGGGAUAACUAUUGGAAACGAUAGCUAAUACCGCAUAACAGUAGAUGUUGGAUGAUAUCUACUUAAAAGGUGCAAUUGCAGCACUACCAGAUGGACCUGCGUUGUAUUAGCUAGUUGGUGAGGUAACGGCUCACCAAGGCGACGAUACAUAGCCGAGCUGAGAGGGUGAUCGGGCAACACGGGAACGAGACCACGCCCAGAAUCCUAAGGGAGGGAGCAGUAGGGAAACUUUGGCCAUGGAGGGAAGUCUGACCGAGCACAGCCGCGGGAGGGAAGAAGGUUUUCGGAUCGUAAAGGCCUGUUGUAAGAGAAGAAAGAGUGUGAGAGUGGAAACUUCACAUUGUGACGGUACCUUAACAGAAAGAGACGGCUAACUACGUG